UACGGAGGAUCCGAGCGUUAUCCGGAAUUAUUGGGCGUAAAGGGUGCGCAGGCGGAUUGUUAAGUCAGUUGUGAAAGUUUGCGGCUCAACCGUAAAAUUGCAGUUGAUACUGGCAGUCUUGAGUGCAGUAGAGGUGGGCGGAAUUCGUGGUGUAGCGGUGAAAUGCUUAGAUAUCACGAAGAACUCCGAUUGCGAAGGCAGCUCACUAGACUGCAACUGACACUGAUGCUCGAAAGUGUGGGUAUCAA
rnacentral:rRNA from 1 species